rnacentral:rRNA from 1 species
GACGAACGCUGGCGGCGUGCUUAACACAUGCAAGUCGAACGAUGAAGAAAAGAAUCGAAGCUUCGGCAGAAAUUCAUUUCGGAUUAGUGGCAGACGGGUGAGUAACGCGUGAGCAACCUACCUCUUACAAAGGGAUAGCCUCGGGAAACCGGGAUUAAUACCAUAUAACAUUGCGACGAAGCAUUUCGAUGCAAUCAAAGCUACGGCGGUAAGAGAUGGGCUCGCGUCCCAUUAACCGGAUGGUGAGGUAACGGCUCACCAUAGUGACGAUGGGUAACCGGCGUGAGAGGGGGAACGGUAACAGUGGAAAUGAGACACGGACAAGACUCAUAGGGGAGGCAGAGGGGGGGAAUAUUGAAAAAGGGAGGAAAUUCUGAGGCAGCGCCGCCGGGUGAGGAAUAAAGUAAUUCGUUGAAAAAAACUUUGUUCUAUGGGAAAAAAAGGACGGAACCAUAGAAGAAGGCCCGGGCUAAAUACGUC